GCCCGCCCGCCCUGCCAGCGCCGCCAGCCCUGCAGCCACUGGACCACCAUUGAGAGAUUCCCCAGCACUCCCAAAGGUAAGGAGGUUGGGGGGGGAUUUAAAGGCAGCACAAAACCAGGAUACACCACUGCUCACAAUGCUUUAUUGUGAGGAAACAUUGGAUUGGCUCUGAUUGUUAAAUUUGAUGAUCUCAGCCAGAAGGCGGGGUGAGGCCAGGCCACCUGCAACGAGAGGAUACGGUGCUCAAAAAGGGGUAAGUAAAGGCAAGGGAGGCUGAUCACCGAAAGGCUGAUUUUACCACUAUAGUGGUAUACAAUUUGUGUUCCUGACACUAUAGUGUUCCUUUAAUUUUUAACCCCUUAAGGACCAAACUUCGGGAAUAAAAGGGAAUCAUGACAUGUCACACAUGUCAUGUGUCCUUAAGGGGUUAAGAAAGUCUGAGCACUUACUAAAUGAGGGUGAUACUUGGGUUCAACCAAAGCAAAUAACAAGAAAUGGGUCCAGCACACCACUGGUGAAUUCUGCUUGAAUUGGUAGCAAAAUGGCAAAGUUUAAGAAAACUUAGGGCACAUCUCAGGCCUUCCAAGUGUUCUUAUUUAGGACCAAGCACAUAGAAGCAAGGCUUACUGUGUUUAUGCAAUAUACAAAUCAAUUGACAGACAACAUCUGUUUUUAUAAAUAUUUCUGUCCCUUGGCUCGAUCUAUCAUAAUGUCACUCUUUUGAAGAGCUAUUAAUUUUGUUUGCGUGUGUAAAAGUUAAAAAAGUUUAUGAUAAAAUCCCUCUUCGAAAUGUUGGAGAGUAUGAAACAACUUGCUCGUAUGAGCUUACAAUCUAGUUAGUAAGGCAAGACGUUUAGAAGGCUGAUAAGGAAUCAAUGAUUGUUAGUUAAAGGGACACUAUAGUCACCUGAACAACUUUAGCUUAAUGAAGCAGUUUUGGUGUAUAGAACAUGCCCCUGCAGCCUCACUGCUCAAUCCUCUGCCAUUUAGGAGUUAAAUCCCUUUGUUUAUGAACCCUAGUCACACCUCCCUGCAUGUGACUUGAACAGCCUUCCAUAAACACUUCCUGUAAAGAGAGCCCUAUUUAGGCUUUCUUUAUUGCAAGUUCUGUUUAAUUAAGAUUUUUUUUAUCCCCUGCUAUGUUAAUAGCUUGCUAGACCCUGCAAGAGCCUCCUGUAUGUGAUUAAAGUUCAAUUUAGAGAUUGAGAUACAAUUAUUUAAGGUAAAUUACAUCUGUUUGAAAGUGAAACCAGUUUUUUCUCAUGCAGGCUCUGUCAAUCAUAGCCAGGGGAGGUGUGGCUAGGGCUGCAUAAACAGAAACAAAGUGAUUUAACUCCUAAAUGACAGUGAAUUGAGCAGUGACAUUGCAGGGGAAUGAUCUAUACACAAAAACUGCUUUAUUUAGGUGACUAUAGUGUUCCUUUAACCUCCCGAGUCGAUGCACAUUGGUUUUCAGGAUGUGUAUUUGGAAAAGAGGAAAAAGCCUGCAGGGUGUGUUAAGACAAACACUGAUUAAAGUGUCACACCUUAAAAAUAACACUUGGCCACAUUGUACGACUAUCAGAGCAGCAGCUCCCGGAAUGUAACAGGAAAGAAAAUGCAAGAUUCCAGCUGUGAAAUACAGAAACACUUUGUCUUAGCGUUCCUGGCCGAGAUAUAACCUUUGGUCAUGUGAUCAUGACCCAGCAGGCUGCAGGCCGGAACGGAACGUGGCCUCACCACGUAGUAAUAUUGUAACAUGGUAAUCUAGGUUGAAAAAAGACCAUCAAGGCCAUUGAGUUCAGCCUUUCAUUUCUAAGUAUUUACAUUAUCUGAUAGUUCCAGCUACUCACUGAUACAGAUCAAUAACAAUGUCUCUUGCAACAGUGAAACCCCUCCAACCUUGCAGACUUACACUUUUUAACCCUUUCAUGUUUUAUUUUGUUGAAAAAUAAUUAGAAUAACAUUUGAAAUAUGGGUUAAAUAACGAGCACAUGCAGAGAAAAAAACAGCAAUUUCCUGUGUAGGUUUCACAACUAGAAAUAUCUACAGACCCUCUAUUAUACGGGGAGAUCUGCAUCUGGAGGUGAAGAGUUCAUAAAGGGCUUCUACCAGAAUCCUCGGGGCCCGCAACACACAUUAGCAGACACAAAUACCUGUACACAAAGAUAUACACAGCCACACACACAUAUACACACAGAUACAUAGAGCACAGAUAUACACAGCCACACACACAUAUACGCACUGCCACACAUAUACACACAGAUACAUAGAGCACAGAUAUACACAGCCACACACAUAUACACACAGAUACAUAGAGCAUAUACACAGCCACACACACAUACCCACUGCCACACAUAUACACACAGAUACAUAGAGCACAGAUAUACACAGCCACAUACACAUAUACACACAGAUACAUAGAGCACAGAUAUACACAGCCACACACACAUAUACACACAGAUACAUAGAGCACAGAUAUACACAGCCACACACUCAUAUACCCACUGCCACACAUAUACACACAGAUACAUAGAGCACAUACACAGAUAUACACAGCCACACACACAUAUACCCACUGCCACACAGAUACAUAGAGCACAGAUAUACACAGCCACAUACACAUAUACCCACUGCCACACAUAUACACACAGAUACAUAGAGCACAGAUAUACACAGCCACACACACAUAUACACACAGAUACAUAGAGCACAGAUAUACACAGCCACACACUCAUAUACCCACUUCCACACAUAUACACACAGAUACAUAGAGCACAUACACAGAUAUACACAGCCACACACACAUAUACCCACUGCCACACAUAUAUACACAGAUACAUAGAGCACAGAUAUACACAGCCACACACUCAUAUACGCACUGCCACACAUAUACACACAGAUACAUAGAGCACAGAUAUACACAGCCACACACACAUACACACUGCCAAUAUAGGCCACACAGAUACAUAGAGCACAUACACAGAUAUACACAGCCACACACACAUAUACCCACUGCCACACAUAUACACACAGAUACAUAGAGCACAGAUAUACACAGCCACACACACAUAUACCCACUGCCACACAUAUACACACAGAUACAUAGAGCACAGAUAUACACAGCCACACACACAUAUACCCACUGCCACACAUAUACACACAGAUACAUAGAGCACACAUAUACCCACUGCCACACAUAUACACACAGAUACAUAGAGCACAGAUAAACACAGCCACACACACAUAUACCCACUGCCACACAUAUACACACAGAUACAUAGAGCACAGAUAUACACAGCAACACACACAUAUACCCACUGCCAUACAUGUACACACAGAUACAUAGAGCACAUACACAGAUAUACACAGCCACACACACAUAUACCCACUGCCACACAUGUACACACACAAAUGCACAAGCAUAUAUACACUGCCAAACACAUGCAUACUGACAAACACAUAUAUAUACAUACACAAAUACACACAGCAACAUAGAUAUACUCACAAUUAUAUACAAACUGACACACACAUAGAUACUUAUAUACACACAUGUAUAUACAGCUACACAUAAAUAUUACACACACAUAUGCAUACACAGCUACACACAGAUGUACAUACACACAAAAACAACAUAAGCACAAUGCCACACACAGACAUACUGCAGUAGACCUAAAUAAAGCUCUGUUUAGCCACCGUCCUCUUUGCCCAGUAUAGUGUUGGAGAAGGGUGGCUUCCAUGUGAUCUAGUGGGGCCGCAGGAUCAGCUGAGCUUUCCUUUCUCACCCAGAGGAAGUGAUCUGAUAUCACUUCCUGUCAGUGCUGCCAUUCAGGAGAGCAAUGGUGGGUUGUCAAUACAGCUCUUGAAGUUCUACUCUACUGCAAUGUGGGUUGUGGCCCGGCUAGUGGAGAUACACGUAUCUCCUCAACUGGACCUCAGAGCACAUAAUGAAUUCCCAGAGUCUUCUCCUGAUGGCAGCCCUGUGUUCAUAUACUGGUCAGACGUGUCUUACAAGCUUAAAAUACACUUACAAGGUUAUUCAGUAUAGUGAGACUUGACAGAAAGUGAAUAUGAACAUGUAGGAGAAAAUACCAUAAUAAGAAAACCUCUGCAAGUCAGUUAUGCUAUCAGUUUGGCUAUUUGGACUUUAAGGUGAAAUUUACUUUGUACUCUGUGUGGUAGAAUGGGUCACUCAUAUAGAUAGGGUGGAUCAAGGGGUGUAAAGUCAUUCCCCAAGUCUAAAGUUCCAGGUGGGAUCAGGAGGCCUCCAAACCUCUCUUAUACUAUGAUUGUGAUCUAGUAAAGGGCCAGCAGUUGCCCAGCUGCCCAACUGUUUUGUCCAAAAUGAGUCUAAAGGUAGGUUUCUAGCCAUGCAUAGAGUAAAUAUGUAUUGUACCCAAGAUCGAUCUAUCUAGAUUAGUUUUGUAAUGAGCUCUGAUAUGCACCAUAAGUCAUGCAUGGUUUAAAUUGCUUUUUAUCCUUGAGUUCAAUCAGCAUAUUUCUCGACAUUAACAAUGGUCAAAGAUCAACAACUAUUUUUUACGGAAGAAAGUUUGGGCAUCAGCAAGAGGUAUCAGCUCACUUAUUCUGCUUACCUAGAAAAGCGGGACUCAAAAAAACAGAAGGACAGCGGGAUAUAAAACUAACAGGGUUCUUCAUCAAACUGGAUUGCUACAAAUGGAAACCUAACAGGGUUAUUUACUAAAACGAGAAUUCAGAGUUAAUUUAAAGUUUAAGGCCAGGGCAGCCAAACUAGAAUCAUAGAUGACUUAGAUUGGAUAUUUCUGCUAUUUUGACUUUCAAUUUGGUAAAUACCUGUGCUAAUAACAUAAGGCUAAAGUAGCCAAGCUGUGACAAUAAGUUAGUUGGAGGAUUUCUCUAAAUUAGCUAUGUUUGCCUAGAUUCUGCAAUUCAGAUUUCAGUUAUAAUUCAGCUUUUAGAGAAUAACUCUGUAAGAGGAGGUUGCUUCCCGAAAUGAAGGUACCACCAUCACUCUUGAUUCCGGUAAACCAGACUUAUCUAUGCUGGUAAUUCAAUUAUUGUAUUUUAAUCAUCAUUAUCUCUCUUCAUUCUUUACAUCUCUAACAAAGUUAUUCACUAAAAUGUGAAGUGUCAUGAAUUCAAAGUGAAUUUCAUUUUGUUUGGAUAUAAUUGCCCCAUUUGUAACAUUUUUUAAGUCAUCCAUCUAUUUUUUUAAAAUCUGUUUUGGGCCCAAAGUUUUUUUU
rnacentral:lncRNA from 1 species